rnacentral:rRNA from 1 species
AGAGUUUGAUCUUGGCUCAGAACGAACGCUGGCGGCGUGGAUUAGGCAUGCAAGUCGAACGCGAAAGCACUCUUCGGAGUGCGAGUAGAGUGGCGGACGGGUGAGUAACGCGUGGGAAACCUGCCUUUGAGUGGGGGAUAACAGUCCUAACGGACUGCUAAUACCGCAUGACGCUGUUGAUCGCAUGUUCAACAGUUAAAGAUGGCCUCUACAUGUAAGCUGUCGCUUAGAGAUGGUCCCGCGUCCUAUUAGCUUGUUGGUGGGGUAACGGCUCACCAAGGCAACGAUGGGUAGCCGGCCUGAGAGGGUGGUCGGCCACACUGGGACUGAGAUACGGCCCAGACUCCUACGGGAGGCAGCAGUCGAGAGGCUUCGGCAAUGGGGGCAACCCUGACCGAGCGACGUCGCGUGGGUGAUGAAGAUCCUUGGAUCGUAAAACCCUGUCAGGUGGGAUGAAACGCCAUUUGGUCAAUACCCAGGGCUUGACAGUACCACCAGAGGAAGCUCCGGCCAACUCCGUGCCAGCAGCCGCGGUAACACGGGGGGAGCAAGCGUUGUUCGGAAUCAUUGGGCGUAAAGAGCUCGUAGGCGGCUCCGUAAGUCAGAGGUGAAAUCCAAUGGCUCAACCAUUGUCCCGCCUUUGAAACUACGGAACUUGAGUUCAGGAGAGGAAAGCGGAAUUCCAGGUGUAGCGGUGAAAUGCGUAGAUAUCUGGAGGAACACCGGUGGCGAAGGCGGCUUUCUGGCCUGAAACUGACGCUGAGGAGCGAAAGCCAGGGGAGCGAACGGGAUUAGAUACCCCGGUAGUCCUGGCCGUAAACGAUGGGCACUAGGUGUGGGGAGUUCGACCCUUUCCGUGCCGCAGUUAACGCAUUAAGUGCCCCGCCUGGGGAGUACGACCGCAAGGUUGAAACU